AGGUCCUGCCUGCCCUGUGAAUUAAUUUUUAACGGCCGCGGUAUCUUGACCGUGCAAAGGUAGCGUAAUCACUUGUCUUUUAAAUGAAGACCCGUAUGAAUGGCAAAACGAGGGCUUAACUGUCUCCUCCCCCCAGUCAAUGAAAUUGAUCUCCCCGUGCAGAAGCGGGGAUAACAACAUAAGACGAGAAGACCCUAUGGAGCUUUAGACGCACUAGCAGACCAUAAAAAACAUUUUUUUCAAAAAAAUGGAACCAACUGACCCCUGCUUCAAUGUCUUUGGUUGGGGCGACCCCGGAGUAAUAAAAAACCCCCGAGCGGACUGAAGACACCCUAGCUUCAUAAUAUAGAGCCGCAGCUCACAAAACCAGAACUUCUGACCCUAAGAUCCGACACAGUCGAUCAACGGACCAAGUUACCCUAGGGAUAACAGCGCAAUCCCCUUUCAGAGCCCCUAUCGACGAGGGGGUUUACGACCUCGAUGUUGGAUCAGGACAUCCUAAUGGUGCAGCCGCUAUUAAGGGCUCGUUUGUUCAACGAUUAAAGUCCUACGUGAUCUGAGUUCAGACCGG
rnacentral:rRNA from 1 species